GAUGAACGCUGGCGGCGUGCCUAAUACAUGCAAGUCGAGCGAACAGACGAGGAGCUUGCUCCUCUGACGUUAGCGGCGGACGGGUGAGUAACACGUGGAUAACCUACCUAUAAGACUGGGAUAACUUCGGGAAACCGGAGCUAAUACCGGAUAAUAUAUUGAACCGCAUGGUUCAAUAGUGAAAGACGGUUUUGCUGUCACUUAUAGAUGGAUCCGCGCCGCAUUAGCUAGUUGGUAAGGUAACGGCUUACCAAGGCGACGAUGCGUAGCCGACCUGAGAGGGUGAUCGGCCACACUGGAACUGAGACACGGUCCAGACUCCUACGGGAGGCAGCAGUAGGGAAUCUUCCGCAAUGGGCGAAAGCCUGACGGAGCAACGCCGCGUGAGUGAUGAAGGUCUCCGGAUCGUAAAACUCUGUUAUUAGGGAAGAACAAAUGUGUAAGUAACUAUGCACGUCUUGACGGUACCUAAUCAGAAAGCCACGGCUAACUACGUG
rnacentral:rRNA from 1 species